CACAUAUAUAUAGCAAGUAACUCUGUUUCACCCGGAAAACAGAAGACUAUGGAUCAUGAGUACACAUAUAUAAAGCUUUUCAAACCUUUGGCUCGUAGGAAAACAGAAGACUAUGGAUCCGGGUGAAAAGCUCGCGCAGGCGGUGUUGAGUGCCCACUCAGUUAUUACGUCGAUCAGUUUAUGCGCAUCAAGUUACUAUCUAGUCGAAUGAGAGGUUAUCAGAGGCACUAUUCAGUCACUUUUUUGGCCUCCAUGGAUCAACUAACAGAGGCGGAGCUAUGAAAGGACUAGGAUGGUCUAAGUCCAUCUUAACAUUACUUUCACGCAUAAAAAUUUGAUUUGAGGUUGGUGGCUCCUAUGGAGUUUAGGGAAUUUGUUACUUGUGAGUUUUGAGCAGGACUUUGGUUUGGGGAUCAGUGAAGGGAGAGAGGAAGAAAGUCAAAGAGGCUUAGAGUUUAGGCUUAAGGAAGAUGAUGAUUAAGAUGACACCAAACUAUACUUAAAUGACGUUGGUCAGUUGCUCAUUAUAUGACAGAGUAAUUUUUGUAAGAUUCGAGGAGGGUUUGGAAUUGAGACAUUUGGACCCCUCAUAGGCUCAAAUUAUGGCUUUGCCACUAAACUAACCACUUUGAACUUUGAGGGAUUCGCCAUUGGCUUGAGUACUAUCACCCAAGAAUACGAAGCCAAAAAUCAUCAUACUAUUUAGGGUUUGUUUGAGAUUGUCUAUGUUUGAAGCAUUUCUACUCAUAAGCACUUAUGUUAGAAGUGCUUUAAUUAGAAACACAUUGAAAUUUCUAUUGAGGGUCUAAGUGAAAUAAAGUUCUACUUAAUGAAGUGUAUAACAUGUAAUUCUCUUGAACGUGAUUAUAUGAUUCAAAAACACUUUU